CGGCGGACGGGUGAGUAACACGUGGAUAACCUACCUAUAAGACUGGGAUAACUUCGGGAAACCGGAGCUAAUACCGGAUAAUAUAUUGAACCGCAUGGUUCAAUAGUGAAAGACGGUUUUGCUGUCACUUAUAGAUGGAUCCGCGCCGCAUUAGCUAGUUGGUAAGGUAACGGCUUACCAAGGCAACGAUGCGUAGCCGACCUGAGAGGGUGAUCGGCCACACUGGAACUGAGACACGGUCCAGACUCCUACGGGAGGCAGCAGG
rnacentral:rRNA from 1 species